GGGGGAGGGUAGGAGGGGAAGAGGAGCGGGGCUCCUAGGAACAGCAGCGUGUUUCCAAGACCCUCGGCUUAGCUCACUGCCACUCUGGCCCCUCAGGACCGCCUGGUGCUCUGGUCCAAUGCUUGGGAGAAAUCCUAAACUGAGGGAAAUCAAGGCCCAGCCCACUUCGGGAAUGGCUCAGGGGCUGCAACCUCCAGCUCACCAACAAGGCAGUUAGAACCACGGUUGGCAAAUACAGCUGCACUUCGGGAUCACCUGGGAUGCCUGGGUCCCCCGCGGGGCCAAGUCCAGCCCCAGAGAUCUCAGGAUUUCUAACCAUGCCACAUCCCCUGGGGGGCACAACUCCCAGCCACAGAGGGGAAAAGAAACGCCCAGAGUGACUCCACUGAGGAGGGCAAGGUCUGCAUUCGCCUCACCGCUUCCUGAUACUUUCACAAACAAGACGAGGAACAAGAGAAAAUGCAGUGCAUUUGCUGACUUUGUCAAUCCCCUUGCCUCGCUCCCCCCUGCAGCCGGGUCUCCAGGGAAGGGUUUAACAGGAAGCGCCUGGCGUCCGGGAGCCACAGAAGACCAUUGUUCUCCAGCUGGUCCCCUCCCUCUUGUCCAGGAAGACCCUCUAGGGAGCCCCUUCAAAAGGGCCAGGCGCAGUGUCUCCAGACUGCAGGCCAGCCUGUCGGGAGAGCAAGCACCGGAAAAGGAAACCCACGGGGCGCGGGCUGGGGCACAGCUGUCACCGCAGAGUCUUGGGGGGUUUCCGAGGAAGGGGGGGCUCAGGCUUACCCGCGCCCCCAGGGGGGACAACCCUCCCCCACAGCCCUCAUCUGGAAGGCAGACGGCUUUGAUCUCAAGCUUUUAGGUACAACUUAAGCUCCUGUCUCCCUCCACCCAUUUCCCCCACCCCCAGCAUCUCUGUGUUGGAA
ensembl:lncRNA